UAACACGUGGGUAACCUACCUAUAAGACUGGGAUAACUUCGGGAAACCGGAGCUAAUACCGGAUAACAUUUGGAACCGCAUGGUUCUAAAGUGAAAGAUGGUUUUGCUAUCACUUAUAGAUGGACCCGCGCCGUAUUAGCUAGUUGGUAAGGUAACGGCUUACCAAGGCGACGAUACGUAGCCGACCUGAGAGGGUGAUCGGCCACACUGGAACUGAGACACGGUCCAGACUCCUACGGGAGGCAGCAGUAGGGAAUCUUCCGCAAUGGGCGAAAGCCUGACGGAGCAACGCCGCGUGAGUGAUGAAGGGUUUCGGCUCGUAAAACUCUGUUAUUAGGGAAGAACAAAUGUGUAAGUAACUGUGCACGUCUUGACGGUACCUAAUCAGAAAGCCACGGCUAACUACGUGCCAGCAGCCGCGGUAAUACGUAGGUGGCAAGCGUUAUCCGGAAUUAUUGGGCGUAAAGCGCGCGUAGGCGGUUUCUUAAGUCUGAUGUGAAAGCCCACGGCUCAACCGUGGAGGGUCAUUGGAAACUGGGAAACUUGAGUGCAGAAGAGGAAAGUGGAAUUCCAUGUGUAGCGGUGAAAUGCGCAGAGAUAUGGAGGAACACCAGUGGCGAAGGCGACUUUCUGGUCUGUAACUGACGCUGAUGUGCGAAAGCGUGGGGAUCAAACAGGAUUAGAUACCCUGGUAGUCCACGCCGUAAACGAUGAGUGCUAAGUGUUAGGGGGUUUCCGCCCCUUAGUGCUGCAGCUAACGCAUUAAGCACUCCGCCUGGGGAGUACGACCGCAAGGUUGAAACUCAAAGGAAUUGACGGGGACCCGCACAAGCGGUGGAGCAUGUGGUUUAAUUCGAAGCAACGCGAAGAACCUUACCAAAUCUUGACAUCCUUUGAAAACUCUAGAGAUAGAGCCUUCCCCUUCGGGGGACAAAGUGACAGGUGGUGCAUGGUUGUCGUCAGCUCGUGUCGUGAGAUGUUGGGUUAAGUCCCGCAACGAGCGCAACCCUUAAGCUUAGUUGCCAUCAUUAAGUUGGGCACUCUAGGUUGACUGCCGGUGACAAACCGGAGGAAGGUGGGGAUGACGUCAAAUCAUCAUGCCCCUUAUGAUUUGGGCUACACACGUGCUACAAUGGACAAUACAAAGGGCAGCUAAACCGCGAGGUCAUGCAAAUCCCAUAAAGUUGUUCUCAGUUCGGAUUGUAGUCUGCAACUCGACUACAUGAAGCUGGAAUCGCUAGUAAUCGUAGAUCAGCAUGCUACGGUGAAUACGUUCCCGGGUCUUGUACACACCGCCCGUCACACCACGAGAGUUUGUAACACCCGAAGCCGGUGGAGUAACCAUUUAUGGAGCUAGCCGUCGAAGG
rnacentral:rRNA from 1 species